rnacentral:tRNA from 1 species
AUUAUUUUGGCAGAUUAGUGCAAUUGAUUUAGAAUCUUUGAAUAUAACUAUAAUUAUAGGUAAUA